AGCACAGUGCAGGUGAGCUCUCAGCUAGCCUGAGCUACAGAACAAGAAAUAAGACCCAUCUCACAAAACCAACAACUAACUCCCAGAGUGAUUUCUCCUCUCCUCAAACAAGGUGACAUCCCCUAAGUAAUUUCUUCAAGGUUAAUAUCAAUUUUCCUUAUAGUCCUGGGCUGGACCAAUCUCUGUCAUAGGGAUUUCUGAAUCAAUUUUGAAAGAGAGGAGGGGUCAUUGUGGCUGAAGGACUGCCCUGAGGAGAUGUCGAGUCCUUGGGGAAGUAAGCACUGGUGCUGGAGAGGAACAGUGUGUCCCCGGGGUGGGCAUGCAUGAUUGCGGGACACAACCUUGUUUCUUCCUGGACCUCCUGCCUCCCCCCUCGGGAUACUUUUCUUGCCCAUUCCUUGCCAAAGCCUUCCUAGGAAAGCCCCGACCUGGUCUCAGUGGCGUGCUGACGCUUGUGACUGACAGAGGCAAGCAGCUACUGCGUCAGUCAAAGCCUCAAGAACAGUGGCUUCUGACAUGCAAACAGCUCUUCCCCUACUCCACUCUCCUGUUUUGGAGAUGGGAGUCUCAUUGCAGCAAAGCCAGCCUCUGCUUUGAACCCCUGUCCUUCCUGAGUGCCGGGGCUGCUGGCUUCUUCUGUCCCAUGGCCUGGCAGCUAUUUUUCUAAAAACAAUUUUGAGCACAAAGACUUAUAAAAUUGAUUGCCUCUGUAUUUGCAGUCCCAGCACAGGUAAAGUGCUGUCAUCUGUGUGCCAACAUACACAUGGGGAGAUUCAUGGACAACUUUUGGAAGUUGGUUCUUCUAUGUAUUUUGUCUGCAUCUGUGCACUGUGUAUGUGCAGUGCCCGAGGAAGCCAGAAGAGGGCACUGGACCCCUGGAAUUGGAGUUCAGAGGGUGGUGAACAGCAAUGUGCGGAAAGGAUACUGAAUUUGGUUCCUCUGAAAGAGUAGCCUCCUAACCUCUGACGCAUCUCUCCAGCUCCAGGGAGCUGGUUGUCCCUACCACAUAGCAGAAACCUAACUCAAGUUGUCAGGCUUGGCAGGAAGUGCCUUUAUCACCAAGCUGGCCUUGUAUUUUUCAACCAUUUUAAUGGUGGAGAUUUAAGAUACAAACAAACCCUAAUGGUGAGAUGUGGGAAGCCGUUGCAGAGUGGCAGUUACAGAGUGGCAGUUACAGAGUGGCAGUUGCAGAGUGGCAGUUGGCUACUGCUGGCCACCACGCAUAAGUUUGGACAAACAACCAAUGUGUACAUAUGCAGUAAAGUUUUUUGCAAAGACACUGCCUGGCCCGGGCAUGAUAAUGAGGCUUUGAGAGUAUAACCAAUCAGAUGUGAGACAUGCAAAUGAGGUAUGAUAAUGAGGCUCUGUGAGGUACAGAGAGAGAGAGUAGCCAAUCAGAUGAGGAACAUGCAAAUGAGGCAUAGUGCAUAACCAAUCCGGGUGUGAGACACGCCUCUCCUAGGCCUAUAAAAGCAGCACCAGUUCUGGGCUCGGGGUCUCUUCGCCUCUGCAAUCAAGCUCUCCCAAUAAACGUGUGCAGAAGGAUCCUGUUGCAGCUGGUCAAGUCCAGCGCGCGCAAGAGUGAGAUGACUUUGUAUAGCUGCUUGCUGCCAAGGCUGAAGAGUGACCAAAUCCCUGGAACCUCAUGGUGGAAGCAGACAACUGACUCCCACAUGUUGACUCCUGACUUCUAUAUGCCAUGCCAGUCCCACACCUGAAAUGAUGGAUAAGUAAGUGUAAUUCAAAAAUUAAAAAGGUGAAGGUUGGGGGGGGCAUGGAGAGAUGGCUCAGAGGUUAAGAGCACUGACCACUUGCUCUCCAAGAGGUUCUGAGUUCAAUUCCCAACAACCACAUGGUGGCUCACAACCAUCUGUAAUGGGAUCUGAUGCCCUCUUCUGGUGUGUCUGAAGACCGCUACAGUAUACUCAUAUAAAUAAAAAUAAAUCUUUUUUUUUAAGUGAA